UACGGAGGGGGCUAGCGUUGUUCGGAAUUACUGGGCGUAAAGCGCACGUAGGCGGCUUUGCAAGUUAGAGGUGAAAGCCCGGGGCUCAACUCCGGAAUUGCCUUUAAAACUGCAUCGCUAGAAUUGUGGAGAGGUAAGUGGAAUUCCGAGUGUAGAGGUGAAAUUCGUAGAUAUUCGGAAGAACACCAGUGGCGAAGGCGACUUACUGGACACAUAUUGACGCUGAGGCGCGAAAGCUAGGGGAGCAAACGGG
rnacentral:rRNA from 1 species